UUGUGGAACAUUGAUUGGUUGUUUUUUGUAUUAAAAUAGGAAGCUGUUAAGGUGGUGCUUUCAUUGUUUGCUAAGCAUGUUUCAGCAAUGUUUGUUCACCUCACGUCCAUAAAUUCUUUAUAGGACUGUGAAAAUUUAUUCUGUUAUGUAAAACAUUAAAGUCUAGUCAUGUCGUAUAAAUUAUUAGUUACGUACAAGUGUUAUUCGUUUUUUUAUCUAAUGAAAUUUAUGUGUGUUCCAUCACUUUAUACAAAUAUUUAUAUGUGUAGGUGACUUGUGAUAUUAUUAUUUCAUAUAAACUAUUUCUUUUGACUCCACUUAGUGAAAGAAGAAUAUAAUUGUUGUAUUGAUGGUAAUUAAUAAGUAGGGUUAAAUAUGUUUUUGGUCCCUAAUUAUCUUUUCAUUUUAGUCCCUCUAAAAUUUUCCUUCAACUU
rnacentral:lncRNA from 1 species